rnacentral:rRNA from 1 species
GCCCGUGCGACCGAUUGCCGCGUUCGCGGACGAGUCCUCCUUCGAGUCGGGUUGUUCGCUAAUGCAGCCCCAAGCAGGUGGUAAGCUCCAUCUAAGGCUAAAUAUAACCACGAGACCGAUAGUCGACAAGUACAGUGAUGGAAAGUUGAAAAGUACUCUGAAGAGAGAGUCAAAUAGCCCGUGAAGCUGCCAGUAUGGGAUUAAGCGCACGUAUGACGCGUGUCGUCGGCCAAAUAGGCGACUGUUCGGUGUGCGCACCCGUGCCAGUGUGAACGGAAAAUUUCCUGCUGGCGCGUGGUGUUUGCGUGCCGCGGCAGAACGCUUCCCUUUGGUCGGCAUCGACAGGUCGGGGCUUCGUUGUCCAUGGUCUUAUUGCCGGUCGGUGAUUCGCAGAGCCGUGUCGAGCGGUGGCGCCGUUUCGGCGGUGUCCGCCGUGCUCCGUUGAAUGUGCGCUCUCGUGGCGGCAACGGUCGGCCUGGUCUGCGGUGCAAGUGCCGGCCGAUGGCGAACGACCGGGCGACGGCCAGCGCAAAUGCGAAAUGCUCACGCGUUUCGGCUCGGCCUUUGCGUCGUUAUGUGCGGCCCGUCUUGAAACACGGACCAAGGAGUCUAACAUGUGAGCGAGCGAUUGAGAUUGUCUAAUCUUAAACGCGCAAUGAAAGUAAAGUGUCGUNUGACGGCACGAGCGGAGAUCCGCCGUCAUCCGUGGCGGCGGCGCAUCCGCGGGCCGCGCCAUCGGCUGGCUUGCUCUUUUCGGAG